CCCUGCUUUUGUGGGGUGCUCGAGUGGCGAACGGGUGAGUAACACGUGAGUAACCUGCCCUUGACUUUGGGAUAACUUCAGGAAACUGGGGCUAAUACCGGAUAGGAGCUCCUGCUGCAUGGUGGGGGUUGGAAAGUUUCGGCGGUUGGGGAUGGACUCGCGGCUUAUCAGCUUGUUGGUGGGGUAGUGGCUUACCAAGGCUUUGACGGGUAGCCGGCCUGAGAGGGUGACCGGCCACAUUGGGACUGAGAUACGGCCCAGACUCCUACGGGAGGCAGCAGUGGGGAAUAUUGCACAAUGGGCGGAAGCCUGAUGCAGCAACGCCGCGUGCGGGAUGACGGCCUUCGGGUUGUAAACCGCUUUCGCCUGUGACGAAGCGUGAGUGACGGUAAUGGGUAAAGAAGCACCGGCUAACUACGUGCCAGCAGCCGCGGUGAUACGUAGGGUGCGAGCGUUGUCCGGAUUUAUUGGGCGUAAAGGGCUCGUAGGUGGUUGAUCGCGUCGGAAGUGUAAUCUUGGGGCUUAACCCUGAGCGUGCUUUCGAUACGGGUUGACUUGAGGAAGGUAGGGGAGAAUGGAAUUCCUGGUGGAGCGGUGGAAUGCGCAGAUAUCAGGAGGAACACCAGUGGCGAAGGCGGUUCUCUGGGCCUUUCCUGACGCUGAGGAGCGAAAGCGUGGGGAGCGAACAGGCUUAGAUACCCUGGUAGUCCACGCUGUAAACGGUGGGUACUAGGUGUGGGGUCCAUUCCACGGGUUCCGUGCCGUAGCUAACGCUUUAAGUACCCCGCCUGGGGAGUACGGCCGCAAGGCUAAAACUCAAAGGAAUUGACGGGGCCCCGCACAAGCGGCGGAGCAUGCGGAUUAAUUCGAUGCAACGCGUAGAACCUUACCUGGGUUUGACAUGGAUCGGGAGUGCUCAGAGAUGGGUGUGCCUCUUUUGGGGUCGGUUCACAGGUGGUGCAUGGCUGUCGUUAGCUCGUGUCGUGAGAUGUUGGGUUAAGUCCCGCAACGAGCGCAACCCUUGUUCACUGUUGCCAGCACGUUAUGGUGGGGACUCAGUGGAGACCGCCGGGGUCAAC
rnacentral:rRNA from 1 species